AUGUCUGACCGUGCCAGGCAGGCACCAGUGGCUGCAGUAGUGACCUGGGUAGAGGGGAUUAUACAUGACCUAAAUACUGCCCCGUGCCUGACACAAACCACGCAGCACUGCGGUGCGGAGCCAAAGGGCCGCACAAAAUGGCUCCACGAGGGGAGCUUGGCGUCCCCCCAGCUCUUGCUCGACCCCGUUAACAGCAUGACUCCUAUUUAUGGCCUGUGUGCUAGACUCUUUACAGCCUCGGACGAUUUUGCUUCCCUCUGCCUUCGCCUACCUGCCCUGCUUGUGCACCUCGCCAUGGGCUUCCCGUCUCUGCCGCUGGGGCCGGCUGCAGUGAAACGACAAGAAAAGGCUGCAUACUGAGAUCCUGACCUUGCCAGGAGUAGGAACCCAGUCUGAAGAGCAGUCAUGUGAGCCACCAGCCACCACUGGAAACCAGAAAUGCUUUCAGUGCCCCAGAGGUCAAGGAACUAUGCAGUGUAAGUGUCUGACACAAUGACAGCUCUACCCAAAUCACGAACCCGACCUUCUCGUCUUUAAUUACACAAAGCUUCAAAUUGCACGGUAAUGCACAGUAUACACACUGUAAAACAUCCCUGGAGCUAUAAUCAGACUGCAACAGCCGCACAUAAAAGACCCCGUCACAUUUACAUUUUCUAACCUCUUCCUAAUGGGCACUUGCCUUUACCGAAGAGCUUUUAAUGCAAACUUGGGUGGAUGUGUCAUGGUAUCUCCAUUGUGAUUCACUUUUGCAAUAGCCGGAGGAGCACAAGGGUACCAGCGUGAUUGAUACGAUGUUGUUUGACUUCUGGAAAGCUAUUUACCCUGUGCAGCUCUGUUUCUUUCAGAGACAGCACUCUGUGUCUCCAGGGCAUGUUGCCAGAGUACUGUUUGUUACUUCUUCAGCGGAUUCAGUCAUGGAUGUUGUCAGAGACUCUAAAAAUCAGGCUUAAUAUAAAGUUAGUGGGGUUUCUGCAGCCUUUACCCUUGCCCCUUCUUAACAAGUGUACUUCCAUCCUUUGGGUCGCUCACAUGAGAUACAUGCUGUCUCUGCCUAAGCUGAAAUACAUCAGCUGGAUACUUCGUACGUGUUGGAUAUAGGACUAUCCCCAAGGAGGAUAUUAGCACAGACACCAAACAAAAUUUGGACAACUCGAGGAUGCAGUGGUGUAUCCACUGCAUUUCACUAUGGUGGUGUCAGCAGAGGUGGUGGUUAUUCAUAGUGCUCCUAGCAUUAGUGUCCUCUUUGCACGACUUGAAAUCAAACUCUCCAGAAAGGUGAGAGGAUGAGAGGAGUAUGAAUACACGUAUGUACACUGAGGUGACAGUGACUAAAACUAAAGGAGCCUACACAGAAAGGGAAAGAGUAUAAUAUUUCCUUUGCAGGUACAGGAGGCAAAUGUCCGAAGAGGAAGAUUUUACUUUUCAGUGUUAAAGAUCAGUAAAUGAGAUAGCAUAGGAGUUCACCAGGAUUGGGAUCAUGCCACUUUGUAUAGAUGCCAAGGAUUUCACCAUGAAUAGCUUUUGCACUUUAUUAUCGUAUUUGUCUUUAUAUCCCUGUCUCUCUUGCACCUUGCUUAUAACACAUCAGAACAGGUUCACAUGCUCCUCAUAGCCAACACUGGGACUUCUGCAGGUAGUGGUGAGGAUAUUGGUGGACCUCAAGAAAUCAUAACACUAAUGAAGAAUUAGAUUUCAACACAACGUGAAUGGCAGGGAGGAGAGAAGUGCCAAUGAACCCAUGACCCCAAGGCCUUCUUAUCACAGAAUAAAAAUCAGAUAGAGGCAAGGCA
rnacentral:lncRNA from 1 species